UGUUGGGCCGUAGGUUGGACUUGAUCCCAGAGGCCUUUCCCAGCACCGGGCCUAAACCUGGGGUGGUGAGGGGGGUGUGUGUGUCGCAGGCAGGGACACCAGGGUGUAUGGCUGCCCCCGGGGCAUGCGAGGGGCAGAGGAGCCCUCAGAUGCUGAAGACCACCGUGCUUGCCAAUGUGUCAGCCGUCUGAGAGUUUCCAGAUGGCCCCAGCAAGCGGGACUGGCCCUGCCUCCAACAGCCAGUGCAGGGGACAGUCGGAGGCCACCGAGUCGCCCCGCUGGCCUUGCUGAGCCACGGCUCUGCAGGGACCGUGCCUGUGCCAGCGCUGAUGUGACCCCUCUCCUCUCCCGUGGGCAUUCUCUGCGCUCUGCAUGGUUGGACACCUGAAAACUGCCGGUCCCUCUGUGCUUGGCUGCAACAGGGCUCUGGGGAAGCUUUGUUUUUGACUAGCAUCACUGGGGAAGCAGAAAGAUUUUGGCUGUAUUCUGCAUGAAAAAUAAUAA